AAAAGGUGUAAGGAACCCUGAGCAGGACCUGUAGGCACUCUCUCUCUUUCCCUAGCCGCAGCCCGCUGUUCUCCUUCUGUUUCUCUAUUUUAUUUUUCAAAGAAUCCUCGCCUAUUCCCUUCGGCAAUUGUUGGCUGCCUGGCUCCUGGGCCUGUCAUUUCCUCACUUCAUCCUCUCCUGUGUAGAAGAAGUAGAAGAAGAAGAGAUAAUGUUGGACAUCAAUCUCUUUAGGGAAGAAAAGGGUCACAACCCGAAUUCAUCCGUGAAUUCAGCGUCGCCGAUACGCCAAUAUUGUUUUGUCGAUGAGAUCAUUGUUCUUGACGUGGAGUGGAGGCAACUUCAAUUUGAACUUGACAAUCUACGCAAACAGUUGAAUAAGGCGGUGAGGAUGCAACUGAAAUGAUUAAAAAUAGCAAUGAUAUGAAGCAACUGAGUGCUGAUAAAGAGGUUGAGAUGCAUCAGGCUUCUUUAGCUUUAAUUAAGAAAUUGGAAGCCGUUGGGAAUCUUGUGCGUGAUUCAGUGCCUGUUAGCGAUAAUGAGGCAAAUAAUGCUGUAAUUCGAAUUUGGGCUAAGAAAUGUUUUGAUCCUAAAAUGAAAAACCAUGUUGAGUUUCUAGGAAUUGCUGAUACUAGGAAAGGUAUUGCAGCAUAAUAUUUCUUUAGCUUGAGCUUUGCUUCUGAAAGGAAAAAAGGGUUUGCUUUAGUGCAUUGUUUUACUGGAUUUUGAUGACUGAAAUACAGUCUGUAAAUUUAAGUUCUCUAUCAUGACUGUUGAAUAUAAGUUCUCCAAAUUUAUGUAAUCUAAGUAUAUGUUCAUUGUUAUCAUUGUAAUUACAGGUUGCUUGCCACUUCACUAGCCAUUGUUAAUCAUUUCUAUCGAAUUUCUUGUAUGAAUAUCUGUAGCUAAGUAGCUUGGACAAUAGUGGGUUCUUUUCAUAGUUUUUUGAUUAUGUAAUACUUAUGCUAAUGCUGUUGUUCUUGAAAUACAUAGGUGCCAAUGUAGCUGGAGGUAGAGGCUUUUAUCUGAAAGGUGAUGGUGUAUGGCUUAAUCAAGCAUUGAUCAAUUUUGGACUAGAUUUAUAGGAGAAGAGGGGUUACACUGCCUUGCAGACUCCCUUUUUCAUGAGAAAAGACAUUAUGGCAAAAUGUGCUCAGUUAGCACAAUUUGAUGAAGAACUUUACAAGGUGACCGGUGAAGGGGAUGACAAGUAUCUAAUUGCUACAGCUGAACAACCAUUGUGUGCUUAUCAUUUAGAUGAUUGGAUCCAUCCUUCACAGCUACCAAUCAGAUAUGCUGGAUACUCAUCUUGUUUUCGUAAACAAGCUGGUUCACAUGGUCGUGAUACUUUGGGAAUUUUCCGAGUUCAUCAAUUUGAGAAAGUGGAGCAAUUCUGCAUUACCAGCCCAAAUGGUAAUGACUCUUGGGACAUGCAUGAAGAAAUGAUCAAGAACUCUGAGGACUUCUACAAGAUGCUAAACAUUCCAUACCAAGUUGUAGCUAUUGUUUCUGGUGCUUUGAAUGAUGCUGCUGCAAAGAAGUAUGACUUGGAAGCUUGGUUUCCUGCUUCACAAACAUACAGAGAGUUGGUCUCCUGUUCCAAUUGUACAGACUACCAGUCAAGAAGGUUGGAAAUUCGAUAUGGGCAGAAAAAGAGCAAUGAGCAAGCAAAACAAUACGUUCAUUUGUUGAACUCUACGCUCACUGCAACAGAGAGGACCAUUUGCUGCAUCCUUGAGAACUACCAGAAGGAAAACGGUGUAGAGAUCCCAGAACCUUUGCGAGUGUAUAUGGGUGGAAAAGCUUUCCUCCCUUUCCAAAACAACCCAUCUACAGAAGGCAAGGGGAAGAAAUCUAAGGCUUAGUCAUCUUAUUAUAGACUUCUGCAUAUUAGAAUUUGAGAAUUUGGAUUGCAUAUUGCUUGUUCUCCUUACUGGAUGCCUAAAAUUUGGUCAUUGUCAUUGUUUUCUCUUUAUGACUGGAAACGUACACGUAACAGAGCUUUAUGAAAGGAUGCUUCUGAUU
rnacentral:misc_RNA from 1 species